CCCUUAGAUGUUCUGGGCUGCAUGCGCGCUACACUGAAGCUAUCAACACGUUUUCCCUCCCUGAGAAGGGCGGGUAACCUUUUGAAUCAGCUUCGUGGUAGGGAUCGGGGCUCGCAAUUGUUCCCCGUGAACCAGGAAUUCCUAGUAGACGCGAGUCAUAAGCUCGCAUCGAUUAAGUCCCUGCCCUUUGUACACACCGCCCGUCGCUACUACCGAUUGAACGUUUUAGUGAGGCAUUUGGACCGACGCAUCUCAGUUUAACCGCUGGUUUGUGUUGGAAAGACUUCCAAACUUGAGCGUUUAGAGGAAGUAAAAGUCGUAACA
rnacentral:rRNA from 1 species